rnacentral:piRNA from 1 species
UGCAUAGCCUUCCUGAAUUCCCUUUACA